UUAGAAUAAAUUUUAUUAUAAAAUUUAUUUAUUAUAUAUAUUUUUUUGAAAGUAGCGUUGAAUGAUUCUCUUAUAAUAAUUUUCUCUUUCCCUCAUUAUGUAGGCAAUUAGUGUCGAAGUACUAGGUAAAAUUUUCUCUUUGGCGUUGCCUAUUUGAUGUUUUGAAUUAUUAACUUUUUAUUUUACAUGAUAUUUCCUUCGCUGCAAGUUGUUCUUCAAAUCUUGCUUUUCUAAUUAUUUUCCCCAAAUUCGUAUAUUCUUUGAUUGGUUCUGAGAAAAGGGAGCAAAAAAAAUUUCAAUAAUUUAACAAAAUUUUAGGAGUUUUUGGAUACUUGGGAAGGGCCUAAGGAUUGUAAUCGGGCUUGGCUACAUAUGGAGUAGUCCAUUAACUUUCUCGGCCUUAUCGGCCUCAUUCUUCUUUCAAACUGGGAUUGAGCCCGAAAAUUUCUUUUUUUUUUUUUUUUUUUAAUGAUUAAUUGGCCUACCACGAAAUAAAAUUUUAACAACGUAAUGAAAAUAUUACGUAAAUAAAAAAAAUUAACAUAAAUCAUUAUUUUCCGUGUAUUUCAAUUAUUAUUUUAUGAUUUAGAGUAACAAUUCUAUCAUCUUGGAAUAAAAAAUAGUUUUUUAAUACAAAAUAAAAUAUAAUCUGGAGGUCCCAGCCAUCUGCAUAUCAGAACAUAUUAAUGUGUGUGUAUAUAUAUAUUUUAUGUUAUUUUUUGUUUUUGUUAUUAUUUUUUUUUUAAAUAACGGUAGAGGAACAGAAAACAGUAAAGUUAGCUUCUUUUUGUUUUUUUUAAUCAAAAUAAAAUUGUAGUGAAAAAAAAAAUAAUAAUUAUAAUGAAAUCACAAAAUUAAAAAUAAAAAGUGCAGACAUGAAAAUCAUGAAAAGCAAAUAUUAUUAAUCUGUAAAAGUAUUUUCGAAAAAUAAAUAUACACCUACAUAUUAGUAAACAACGACUAAUUAGGAAUUAAUUUAAGUGAAAGUACGUGGCUGUAGUAGUGUUUUAAUUUGAUCUCAAUAUCGUUACAUUGUUUUCUCAAUUAUGAUAUUUCCCCACUCUUAAUAUAAAUAUGUAUGCACUAUUAUAUAUAAACAAUACAAGCUAUCUGAACCUUCCCUUUAAAAAAUUAAUUGAAUAAAAUAUUAAGAAAUGUACAUUAGAUUGGUAAAAACCAAGUCACAUAAACAUUGAUUGAGGAGCCAGACAAUUUUUCCCACCCAAACUUGCCGCAUAAUUUGUUUUGACAAAAAAAUAAAGCGCAAAAACAGGGAUGACUAGUGCCAGGAGCGGAGGGGUUAAUGGCGAUGAUUUUAUUGUUUUUCAAUGGAAAAUAAUAAUAAAUAAAUAAAUAAAUAAUAAUAAUUAUAAAAAAAGAAAAAAAAAAAAAAGAAAAAAGAAAAGAGAUAAGAAAGUGACCCACCUUAGACUUGAACCCAAAGAAUAGGCAGGUGGGGUUACAUGAUGAGGUCGUGUUUGAUUCACGAGAUAAACAUUAACGUACACCUGUCUUUGCCGAGUCCAGCUGGUUACAUUUGGAGGGCUUAGAGAGGUUGUAUUUCACAUUUUUUGGGUUUUCAAUUUUUAUUUGAGAUUUGAGUGCUCAUCUAACUAAUACCAUAACUCCUCCUAAACUGACCAAAUUCUUGAUGUUACACAUCUUUUUGUUCUAUCUUUUAAUUUCUAUUGUCCCUUUCCCCACUUUAUCAUUACCAAUUUUUUAAUUUUUUUUUUUUUUUUUUAAGAUGUGCAUAUCGACUCUGCGAUGUGGACAAGAGCCCGUUCAUUUAUAUAUCAUACAAAAAUCAUCUACAUUUUUCAAUUCUAUCAAUUUUUUUUUCCUUUGGCUUUUUGCUGCUUUAGAUAUGUAUUAAUGAGUACAACCAUGAAAAGAAAUUUAUCAAUCAUGAUUAUAAAUUUGGAGUAAAUUAGCCAAUUAUUUUACAUUAAAUAAUGAAAGCCAAAAGGUAUCCGACAUUGUCAAAAUGUAACAAUCAAAAGGACCAUCCUCGCUAAAGGCAUCUUAUACAGGUAAUAGGUUCUUCAACUUUUUACUUUUUAUUAUUACUACUACUACUACUAUUAUUAUUAUUAUUAUUUGUUUUUACGUAACUAACUUUACACAUUCACACUGGAUUAUAUGCUUUUUACCUAAAAUCCACAGCUCUAUUUUUCACCUAAAUAAUAAUCAACAAUAUAAAAUCAAACCAAUCAUUAAAAAAAAAAAAAAAAAAACC